rnacentral:rRNA from 1 species
GAGUUUGAUCCUGGCUCAGGACGAACGCUGGCGGCGCGCCUAACACAUGCAAGUCGAACGAGCGAGAGAGAGCUUGCUUUCUCGAGCGAGUGGCGAACGGGUGAGUAACGCGUGGGUAACCUGCCUUAUACCGGGGGAUAACAGCCAGAAAUGGCUGCUAAUACCGCAUAAGCGCACAGAACCGCAUGGUUCCGUGUGAAAAACUCCGGUGGUAUAAGAUGGACCCGCGUUGGAUUAGCUAGUUGGCAGGGCAGCGGCCUACCAAGGCGACGAUCCAUAGCCGGCCUGAGAGGGUGAACGGCCACAUUGGGACUGAGACACGGCCCAGACUCCUACGGGAGGCAGCAGUGGGGAGUAUUGCACAAUGGGGGAAACCCUGAUGCAGCGACGCCGCGUGGAGGAAGAAGGUUUUCGGAUUGUAAACUCCUGUCGUUAGGGACAAUAAUGACGGUACCUAACAAGAAAGCACCGGCUAACUACGUGCCAGCCGCCGCGGUAAUUC